rnacentral:rRNA from 1 species
ACGUAGGGAGCGAGCGUUAUCCGGAUUUACUGGGCGUAAAGCGCGCGUAGGUGGUUUGUUAAGUUGGAUGUGAAAGCCCCGGGCUCAACCUGGGAACUGCAUCCAAAACUGGCAGGCUAGAGUACGGUAGAGGGUGGUGGAACUUCCUGUGUAGCGGUGAAAUGCGUAGAUAUAGGAAGGAACACCAGUGGCGAAGGCGACCACCUGGACUGAUACUGACACUGAGGUGCGAAAGCGUGGGGAGCAAACAG